GAUGAACGCUGGCGGCGUGCCUAAUACAUGCAAGUCGAGCGAACAGAUGAGGAGCUUGCUCCUCUGACGUUAGCGGCGGACGGGUGAGUAACACGUGGAUAACCUACCUAUAAGACUGGGAUAACUUCGGGAAACCGGAGCUAAUACCGGAUAAUAUAUUGAACCGCAUGGUUCAAUAGUGAAAGACGGUUUUGCUGUCACUUAUAGAUGGAUCCGCGCCGCAUUGGCUGGUUGGUAAGGUAACGGCUUACCAAGGCAACGAUGCGUAGCCGACCUGAGAGGGGGAACGGCCACACUGGAACUGAGACGCGGUCCAGACUCCGACGGGAGGCAGCAGUAGGGAAGCUUCCGCACAGGGGGAAAGCCUGACGGAGCAACGCCGCGUGAGUGAUGAAGGUCUUCGUAUCGUAAAACGCUGUUAUUAGUGAAGAACAAAUGUGUAAGUAACUAUGCACGUCUUGACGGUACCUAAUCAGAAAGCCACGGCUAACUACGUG
rnacentral:rRNA from 1 species